UCUCAUUGGCAGAUAAUACUGUUUAAUGGCAGCAAUGAAACUUCACAUACAGAAUUUGUCAUUGAGUAUCGGAACAUGUGCAAAGCAAGGGACAUGCAGUGUUUCUUCCUUUCUCUACAAGUCUCAGACUUUAAAUUUCAGCGAAAAUAAGAACCCACAAAUAAUAAUAAUAAUAAUAAAAAGAUAACUAAGCUUUAAAUUAAUAAUCGGCAGCAGAAAUAAAAUACAUUUCCUUUUUGUACUUACCUAGUAAGGACUCUAACAAGAGCAUUACUGUUAAUUACAGUAUACUUGUUUGUACAGGGGGUGAUGGGGUUUACACAGGGGACCAGGAAGUAAUUGCGGAGGGGAGUGAAACGCCAGUACUAGUUACAUAAAUAUGAUAGACAACUCGUCCAGCACAAAAAGAGAUUAAACAUUUCCACAUGCUACGCAGUAUAUACCAGGCACAAUUUGCCUCCUCUAGCAAAUACCACAAAGCGGAUCAGCACGUACCGAGACAGCGUAGACCUGUACUACACAUUUUACAGAUCUGCUGCCCCCUUAAAGCGAAUGUCUGCGCACCUCUGCUUAAGGUGAUCAGAAUGUCCUACUAUUUACCUUGGACUAUACAAUUAAAAUAUUUAUAUAUGAAAAAUUAGCUAUAAUUUUUUUCAUUAUAUCAAUUGGCUCAUAUAGUGUGCUGGUUGUAUGUAGCCUUCAUACACUGACUGCGGGAAACCAAUCAGUGAAUGCAUCACAAAAGAAGAAAAUGUUUGAAAAAUAAACCGAUUUCUAGCUAGAAGCAUAUGAACUCUAUAUACAGUCAUUAAACAGCAGCACUUUACAUGUACUGACUUACCAUAUUAAGAAAAGACUGAAUUACCGAAUAAACCAAGUUAAAAGGGGAAUACUUAUAUAAAUUUACUGCAAAGAACAGAGAAUAUAAAAAUGGCCAUUACAGAGAAAUUAUUGACUAAAUAAUGUAUUGUGGUGAAUUUAAAGUGGAGUUUGAAAAAGGUUAAGUGGCUCAAAGUUGCAGCCUGGCCACUCGUUGGGAGGCUCAUGACUAGUGCCGCCAACAUAAUCCAGUAUUCAUAUUCUGCUAGAGGGAAGCCAGCUCCUUUAUCUAAGCAGCAGCUAUGAAUGACUUCCUCUGGAUUUGAAUACUUUACACUGUCAGGAAACACUACUCUCUAUACCUGCCGAUAGCACAAGGCAACGCGACACUCAAACUAAGCCUUAUGGAGUGCGAAGUAGAUUUUAUAAUGAACUUUACAAAGACACAAGAUCACUACCUGAACACCCUGAUUAUUGCGUGGGGUUGGGUUGUCAGAUACUCCAUAUUUUAUGGACAUCCAUGACCUGUUUCUGUUGCAAACAGUGGUUUGGGUAUGAAAAGUGCUGUUCUGUAGUAUGAAGCAUUCACAUGCUCCAAGAAGGAGACUAAUGAAUAAUCACAAACGAACCAUCUCAAUAUCAAAAUGACCUUCCCUCCUGCAGGAUACAUAAUCUAUAUAAUGCAUAGUAUUACUUUCCAUUAGCAGCCCACCCGCACAAAGGAGUAAUAGGAGAGGGCCAAAAGUAGAGCUAACUGGUAUUCUAAAAUGAAACAGAAGAACAAUAUAAUUCACCACAAUUCACUCAUUCAAUAACUGCCAAGAUACUGAAUUAAGAAAAUGUAUUUAAAAAAACCCAAACGUCAUCAUUCCUGAUAAUUCUAUUGUUUAAGCUGCCCUCCUCAUCACUUAUUCAUUCACCAAGCCCAGAAACAUACAGAACAUUAAAAUGUGCAACAUAUUUACAUAUAUAAUGGGGCUUAUAGACGUACCUGGGGAUUACUGCAAACUAAAAAUAAAAUUGCUAAAUUUGGCAAGCUGUGACGACAUCGGAGUUGGAUAAAAAUUUGGACUCAAAAAUUGUUAAAUAAACCCUUUUACUGUUUCGAACAUACUUUCUUUUAAAAGAUGUUUUGACUUAGAGUUAUGUAAGUAAGGAUUCCUUUGCAAUUAGUUAAGAAGCAUGCACAGGUUUAAAAAGUAGUUUUAAAAAGAAUUUAAGAAUUAUUUUGCUUUAAAAAUAGUUAAUGCAAGAUUUUUUUUUUUUGGGUGGGGGAGAGAGGAAUCUGUAGCUUGCUGUUAUAUGUGACUUGUCCCUAUUUAACCUAGUGUGAGCGAGAAUGGCAACCGGAUGACGUACAGAGGAAUCUGUAUUUUAGACAUGGGUUUUGUGUGUUUUUCUCAUGCAUCCCAGAUGGGGGCGCUGAUUGCAAACGGUAUUUCUACAAUCAUGCUUUAAUGAUACGUUGACAGAUAUUUCUUUUAAGGACUGACUUUUUCUUGAAAAUAUAACCAUCUGGUCCCAGAAGACUUUAUGCCAGCAUGGGAUAUUCUAUUUAAUCCGCAUGUUCUAUUUUAACAAACCAGAAUGUUAAAAUGGCAUCUUCACUGGCUUUUAAAUGGGGACAAUCAAUAUAAAAAAUUAAUUGUGUGUGUGUGUGUAUAUAUAUAUAUAUAUAUAUAUAUAUAUAUAAAGAAAAAAGCAC